rnacentral:rRNA from 1 species
UCGAACGGUGAAGCCAAGCUUGCUUGGUGGAUCAGUGGCGAACGGGUGAGUAACACGUGAGCAACCUGCCCUGGACUCUGGGAUAAGCGCUGGAAACGGCGUCUAAUACUGGAUAUGAGCUCUCAUCGCAUGGUGGGGGUUGGAAAGAUUUUUUGGUCUGGGAUGGGCUCGCGGCCUAUCAGCUUGUUGGUGAGGUAAAGGCUCACCAAGGCGUCGACGGGUAGCCGGCCUGAGAGGGUGACCGGCCACACUGGGACUGAGACACGGCCCAGACUCCUACGGGAGGCAGCAGUGGGGAAUAUUGCACAAUGGGCGGAAGCCUGAUGCAGCAACGCCGCGUGAGGGAUGACGGCCUUCGGGUUGUAAACCUCUUUUAGCAGGGAAGAAGCGARAGUGACGGUACCUGCAGAAAAAGCGCCGGCUAACUACGUGCCAGCAGCCGCGGUAAUACGUAGGGCGCAAGCGUUAUCCGGAAUUAUUGGGCGUAAAGAGCUCGUAGGCGGUUUGUCGCGUCUGCUGUGAAAUCCCGAGGCUCAACCUCGGGCCUGCAGUGGGUACGGGCAGACUAGAGUGCGGUAGGGGAGAUUGGAAUUCCUGGUGUAGCGGUGGAAUGCGCAGAUAUCAGGAGGAACACCGAUGGCGAAGGCAGAUCUCUGGGCCGUAACUGACGCUGAGGAGCGAAAGGGUGGGGAGCAAACAGGCUUAGAUACCCUGGUAGUCCACCCCGUAAACGUUGGGAACUAGUUGUGGGGACCAUUCCACGGUUUCCGUGACGCAGCUAACGCAUUAAGUUCCCCGCCUGGGGAGUACGGCCGCAAGGCUAAAACUCAAAGGAAUUGACGGGGACCCGCACAAGCGGCGGAGCAUGCGGAUUAAUUCGAUGCAACGCGAAGAACCUUACCAAGGCUUGACAUACACCAGAACACCGUAGAAAUACGGGACUCUUUGGACACUGGUGAACAGGUGGUGCAUGGUUGUCGUCAGCUCGUGUCGUGAGAUGUUGGGUUAAGUCCCGCAACGAGCGCAACCCUCGUUCUAUGUUGCCAGCACGUAAUGGUGGGAACUCAUGGGAUACUGCCGGGGUCAACUCGGAGGAAGGUGGGGAUGACGUCAAAUCAUCAUGCCCCUUAUGUCUUGGGCUUCACGCAUGCUACAAUGGCCGGUACAAAGGGCUGCAAUACCGUGAGGUGGAGCGAAUCCCAAAAAGCCGGUCCCAGUUCGGAUUGAGGUCUGCAACUCGACCUCAUGAAGUCGGAGUCGCUAGUAAUCGCAGAUCAGCAACGCUGCGGUGAAUACGUUCCCGGGUCUUGUACACACCGCCCGUCAAGUCAUGAAAGUCGGUAACACCUGAAGCCGGUGGCCUAACCCUUGUGGAGGAGCCGUCGA